rfam:Nomascus leucogenys chromosome 11, whole genome shotgun sequence.
GCUGGGCACAGUGACUUGUGCCUGUAAUCCCAGCAUUUUGGGAGGCUGAGGUGGGUGGGUCACUUGAGGCCAGGAGUUCGAGACCAGCCUGGCCAACAUGGUGAAACCCCGCCUCCA